AGUCAUGGCUCCUCGCCGUGGCCGAUGUUUUUGUACCUCCAUCUGCGGAGGCCGCGGCGCCCGGCCCCAGCUGCCCCGGACGUGCGGCGACGGCACGCAGCACUGCGGCAGGGGGAAGCCAGCCCUCGCUGCGGCCGAGGUGAGUCUAACCUGAGGCACUGACGCCGUCACAUGCCCUCCGUGCUGGGGCCGGCGGUGCGGCUCGCCAGUUGAGGGGCAGGGCGGGCCGGCGCCGCGGAGCGAGAGGACGUGAGCGAGGAACUGUUUGCACUGUGUAGUAAAGAGGGAAUGGCCAUGAGAUGUGAGUAGAAGCCCCCUGGACAGCCUCCAAAAGAGAACUGUGAGAAAAGGUUCUUCAAUCCUAAAAAUGAUGGAGGAAAAAACAGUCCCUCUUCCUCAGACAGUGACACCUCAAACUGCUACAGUCACCUUUGCAGCAAGCCUGAAGAUGCCACC
rnacentral:lncRNA from 10 species